GCAAUGGUGGUUUAGUGGUAGAAUUCUUGCCUUUCAUGCUGGAGAACUGGAUUUGAUUCCUGGCCAGUGUA
rfam:Loxodonta africana unplaced genomic scaffold scaffold_21, whole genome shotgun sequence.